rnacentral:rRNA from 1 species
GAUUUCUGGUCUGGUGCGCCUGGCCCGCCGCAUUAGCGUGUGAGUGCCGGGUCGCGCCUGCCAUCCUUCUAGAAAACGUAUCUACCCUUCACUGGGCCGGAUCACGCGAUCUAGAUCUUUUACUUUGAAAAAAUUAGAGUGUUUAAAGCAGGCAUUUGCUAUGAAUACAUUAGCAUGGAAUAAUAAUCUAGGACUUCGGUUCUAUUUUGUUGGUUUCUAUAACUGAAGUAAUGAUUGAUAGGGACAGUUGGGGGUGCUAGUAUUGGCCGGUCAGAGGUGAAAUUCUUGGAUUCGCUGAAGACUAACUUAUGCGAAAGCAUU